UAAGUUUAAAGCCGUUCCCACUCGUAUUAUCACUGUCUGCCAAUGCCAAGUGACACGCAAGGUCUGGCAGCGGGUCAGGUAAUGACAUGACAACAGUACACAAACAACUGUGCUACUAUUUUCUAUUUAUUGGUAGAGUGGAGCCUGGAAAACUCGGGUUGAUGCCAGCAGUGGUUCUGUGGAUAUCAGGUGGUGCCCCAAACGCACUACUUUCUAUUUAUUGGUACAGCGGAGCCUGGAAAACUCCGGUUGAUGCCAGCAGUGCUUCUGUGGAUGUCAGAUGGUGUCCCCAAACCCGCACGCUGGGAGUGCUCCCACCUCCUGCUGGAUGGUGGAGAGGAGCGAGAGGACAGAGGUGGUGCUGGGCGGUACUGGGGGCUGCUGGGCCUGGUCUGUUUUCCCCUGGCAGUGGUUUUCCAGGUGUCUGACGAUGCCCCUGUGCUGACACUCUGGGGGGGCCACUCCCACCUCCUGAAGGAUGGUGGAGGGGAGUAGGAGGAUGGUGCCCGGGGGGGCUGUGGGCUGCUGGGCCGGUCAUGCUUUCCCCAGGCAGCAGUGGUCGGUCUCUUGGACAGUUCCCGCGAGCCAACACCCUGGGGGGGCUGCUCCCACCUCCUGCUGGAUGGUGGAGAGGAGCGAGAGGACAGAGGUGGUGCUGGGCGGUACUGGGGGCUGCUGGGCCUGGUCUGUUUUCCCCUGGCAGUGGUUUUCCAGGUGUCUGAAGAUGCCCCUGUGCUGACACUCUGGGGGGGCCACUCCCACCUCCUGAAGGAUGGUGGAGGGGAGUAGGAGGAUGGUGCCCGGGGGGGCUGUGGGCUGCUGGGCCGGUCACGCUUUCCCCAGGCAGCAGUGGUCGGUCUCUUGGACAGUUCCUGUGAGCCAACACCCUGGGGGGGCUGCUCCCACCUCCUGCUGGAUGGUGGAGGGGUGGGGGAGGGCAUUUGGGGAGCCUGGGGGCGGCCAGGUCUGUCAUGCUGGUGGGGCCGCUGCUGUCCCUUGAAGGAUGGUGGAGGGGAUGGAGAGGGCAGUGGAGGGGGUUGGGGGCGCCACUCCCGUUCCCUGAAGGAUCGUGGAGGGGAAUGGGAGGGUGGUGACGGUGCCUGGGGAGCUGGGGGGCUGCUGGAGCGGUCGCGCUUCCCCCAGGCAGUGGUUGUCCGUCUGUUGGACAUUUUCCCCAAGUCUGCACUCUGCGGGGAUUGCUUCCCUCCCCUGAUGGAUGGUGGAGGGGAGGGGGAAGGCAGAGGUGGUGCUGGGAGGGGCUGAGGGCUGCUGGGCCUCUCAGGCUUCCCUGAGGCAGCGGUUGUCUGGGUGCUGGACGAUGCCCCCGAGCCGACACCCUGAGGGGACCGCUCCCGUCCCCUGAAGGAUGGUGGAGGAGGAGGAGGCAGAGGUCGGGGGGGCGGCGUUGGUGGCCGGGGGCUGCUGGGCCUGUUGCUCAUCUGCCGGGGAGCCGUUGUUUCAGUGCCGGCCGAUGACCGCAAGCCUCCACCCCGGGCAGGUUCCUUCCGUCCCCUGAAGGAUGGUGGAGGGGGACGGGGGGGCUGUGCUGAUGCCCGGUGGGUCUGGGGGCUGCUGGGCCUGUUGCGCAUCCCCCGGGAUGUGGAGCCCAGGCCGGUGGGCCGCGGGGGCCGAGGUGGGGGCAGCUGAGCCUGGCUGCUGUCCAGCCUGGCAGGGGCUGCUCUGGUGGUGUCCUGCAGCAGGUGGGCAGGUCGUCCCCACACAGGUGGUUGCCACCAUGUCUGUCUUUUGGGCCCCUCGAGGUGGGCAGGCUGUUCAUCUGACUCUGAACUGGAGCUGCUGCUAUCAUCCCGGGCUUCAUCAGCUGCAGCGAGGCGCCUGCGGAGAGAGGAAUGUGCUGAGGGCACAGGAGAGCCCCUGCUCUCCUUCCUCAAAGCACAUGGCAAAGAGCUGCCCUCAGCUCCCAGCCUGUGUUGGACCCAGCAGGAAGAAUGGGCUGAAGCCGAUUAAAACAUCUAACGGCGUACGUCUCAGACCAUGUUAGCCAACAACUAACUGGCCUCUCUACACUAACUGGAAGUGCCUCCGGGCUCACAGCAGCCCUACAGUAAAGAGUUAGGCAGGAUGGGGGUGGGGGUGAACA
ensembl:lncRNA